rnacentral:rRNA from 1 species
GACGAACUGUCCAAACGUUGUUCGGAAUCACUGGGCUUAAAGGGCGCGUAGGCGGGCUGUCAAGUCUGGGGUGAAAUCCCGCGGCUCAACCGUGGAACUGCCUCAGAUACUGACGGUCUCGAGGGAGGUAGGGGCGAGCGGAACUGAUGGUGGAGCGGUGAAAUGCGUUGAUAUCAUCAGGAACUCCGGUGGCGAAGGCGGCUCGCUGGACCUCUUCUGACGCUGAGGCGCGAAAGCCAGGGGAGCAAACGGG